UUCAUUCAGUUUCUGGAUCUUUAAAAUAAGGAGGUUAGUUGAUAUGACCUCCAAGAUUCUUUUUCCCCAUUAAAAUGAUUUCUCCCAUAAUCCCACUCCCAUAAUGAAUCAUCUGACUCCUUUGAGAUUCUUCAGUAGAGAAGGAGCAGGGUCAAGAAAAAAAAAGGUCAACCAGCCAAAACAGAUCAAAUCUGCUGCAACUCUUGAGCAACAUUUAUGAAGAAACUGAGGGUCAGCAGAGAACGACUUGGCUAGAAAAUCCAGGAGUAGGAAACGGAACUAUGAUCAUCCAUUUUCCAAGUCUAGGAUUCUCUCUGCUAUAAAAUCUUGCAAAUGAAAAUGCCCACUCCAAACCCCAAUGCAUGAAGAUAUAGCAACCUACUUCCUUUCCCAACUCAAUAUUGCUGGGACAUCCUGGUGUGAUAAAAAGGCCUAGUUUCCACAUCUGAAGAAUGAAGGGAUAUCAAACUCAAGUAGAAAAGAGACCAUUAAACUCUACAAAAGGUUGCCUCUGAGUCACAAAAUGAUUUAGAAAACUGCAUAUUAAGCCCUUUUU